rnacentral:rRNA from 1 species
UCGGGAAUUUUGGGCAAUGGGCGAAAGCCUGACCCAGCAACGCCGCGUGAGGGAUGAAGUAUUUCGGUAUGUAAACCUCGAAAGAAUGGGAAGAAUAAAUGACGGUACCAUUUAUAAGCUCCGGCUAACUACGUGCCAGCAGCCGCGGUAAUACGUAGGGAGCAAGCGUUGUUCGGAUUUACUGGUCGUAAAGGGCGCGUAGGCGGCGCGGUAAGUCACUUGUGAAAUCUCUGAGCUUAACUCAGAACGGCCAAGUGAUACUGCUGUGCUAGAGUGCGGAAGAGNCAACCGGAAUUCUUGGUGUAGCGGUGAAAUGCGUAGAGAUCAAGAGGAACACCUGAGGCGAAGGCGGGUUGCUGGGCCGACACUGACGCUGAUGCGCGAAAGCCAGGGGAGCAAACG